AGAAGACUUCGUAGUUCAUCGCCCCAUGACUCGAUCCUUGACUCGUGAAUAUAACAUUCUAGCCUUGGAAGCAACCACUUUAUGUAAAACUGCCAAAUGACAGGAAUAGGAGCAUGCCUAGAUUUUCUCCUCUCCCAAAACGUUGCUUCAGCAAGAGCAUUAUCGAAUAAUGGCUUUCAUAUAUGCAUUUAAAUAUUUUGCAUCUAAAUGUAUUCCACCAAUAAGAUAAUUCCCAAAUACCCCCCUUGCUUUAAGUGAAAAGCUUAAUGAUCCAAGGUCACCCAAAUCUAGUUUCUGCGUUUGCCCAGGCCAAUUAACAUCAUUAAGAAUCUUAUCCUCACAGAUCAUAAAAUCUAGGACUCCAAGAAAGAGUGCUGGGGCUUUCAUGUUAUUCAUCAAAUCAGAUGAACUUUCUAGUUUAUUCUAAUAAUAAGACAAUCGAUGUAGGUUUUAGCAAAGAGUUUUAUAUUUCACAAUCAUCAGUGCAACUACAAGAGGCCUAAUAGUACUAGCACACACACAAAGCCAAAGUAAACAUAUCUAACAGCAUUCAUAACAAGUAGUAUUUUGGAAGAAGCAUUGUCGAAAAAUUAGGAUAAAAAGGCUUUUGCCCCAG
rnacentral:misc_RNA from 1 species